CCGAUGCCUUGUCUGUCUUCCUUUGGUGUUUUGUCACCUGCUCCCAAACAGCAGCAGAAGCCUCUGUUCCCUUUCCUCCACACUUUCUCUGCCCAGGGAUGACAUAGACAUACCUCAGAAUAACAAUAAUAAUAACCUCACAAAGCUUUCAGCCAUCCUGGCAACCAACCAGAGAUAACCACUCAGAGACCAGAGAGCUGGCCAAGGAGGCUAGAGCUUUGCAGAGCAAGGAAGUUACUAUUGACAGGAGACAUGGCCACAUUCACCUCCCGCCUCUUCUUCCUCUUCCUCCUCCUCCUCUUCCUCUCCCUCUCAUUUGUCACUCUUUUCUUCUCCUCCCCUGCUGUUAACAUCACGAUUACCUUGACUUGGACAAAACCAGCAAUUCAGGAAAAGAAGGAGAAAGGAUGCACACCUUGACGACCUGCGAAACGACAUCAUCCUAUUCUGUGUAGCUCUCGCUAAUGUGAUCAUUUGUAUAAUACUGCUUCUACUCCCACUGUCACGAACAUCCUUCACUAUUUGUGAAGCAGCAGCAGGACCCAGGUGUAUUAAAGGCAGAAGACACUGACAAACUGAAAGUACAGAAGUUGUGAAUAAUGAAAACCAACUGCAGGAAUGUGUCAUUGAAAAUCUGAA